CAUCCUGAUGGCGUACACUGUGGCUCGGGCUAACUCCUACGGACGCCUCAUCUCUGAGCUCAAACGUCAGAGAGAGACGGAGGCGCAGAAUAAAGUCUUCCUGGCACGGCGCGCUGUGGCGCUGACCUCCACCAAACCGGCUCUUUGACCCCCGCAGCUCACGUCCCACUUUCAGACCCCAGGCCCAUUGUAAGCCUAAGUCACAACAUCUGUAAACUAGGAGAACUGGAGAAGACUCCACGCCCUUCCAGCUUUGGUAUCUGGAGAUUUUCAGGGCCCCUCGCCGCCACAUCCCUGACUCUCGGGUGAUCUUUCUUGUAUCAAUAAAUACAGCCGAGGUUGCUGAGCGCGCUUUGAAA